GACGAACGCUGGCGGCGUGCCUAAUACAUGCAAGUGGGACGCAAGGAAACACACUGUGCUUGCACACCGUGUUUUCUUGAGUCGCGAACGGGUGAGUAACGCGUAGGUAACCUGCCUAUUAGCGGGGGAUAACUAUUGGAAACGAUAGCUAAUACCGCAUAAUAUUAAUUAUUGCAUGAUAAUUGAUUGAAAGAUGCAAGCGCAUCACUAGUAGAUGGACCUGCGUUGUAUUAGCUAGUUGGUAAGGUAAGAGCUUACCAAGGCGACGAUACAUAGCCGAACUGAGAGGGUGAUCGGCCACACUGGGACUGAGACACGGCCCAGACUCCUACGGGAGGCAGCAGUAGGGAAUCUUCGGCAAUGGACGAAAGUCUGACCGAGCAACGCCGCGUGAGUGAAGAAGGUUUUCGGAUCGUAAAGCUCUGUUGUAAGUCAAGAACGUGUGUGAGAGUGGAAAGUUCACACAGUGACGGUAGCUUACCAGAAAGGGACGGCUAACUACGUG
rnacentral:rRNA from 1 species